rnacentral:rRNA from 1 species
UACGGAGGAUGCGAACGUUAUCCGGAUUUAUUGGGUUUAAAGGGUGCGUAGGCGGCUUUUUAAGUCAGCGGUGAAAUUUUGCAGCUUAACUGUAACAGUGCCGUUGAUACUGGGGAGCUAGGAUUUGGUUGCUGUGGGUGGAAUGUGUGGUGUAGCGGUGAAAUGCUUAGAGAUCACACAGAAUAUCGAUUGCGAAGGCAGCUCACAAAGCCAAGAUUGACGCUGAGGCACGAAAGUGUGGGGAUCAAACAGGAUUAGA